rnacentral:rRNA from 1 species
AACCCAACUCUAGCUCGACCACUUAACCCUACAAACCAGUUAAAAACUCAUUACACUCACCAAACUAAAACAUUCCCACCAACUUAGUAUAGGCGAUAGAAAAGAUCCGCCGACGCAAUAGAGUCCUGUACCGCAAGGGAAAGCUGAAAUAGCAAUGAAAAUUCCAAGUAACAAACAGCAAAGAUACGCCCUUGUACCUCUUGCAUCAUGAUUUAGCAAGAACAAUCAAGCAAAACGAACUAAAGCUUGCCCUCCCGAAACCCAAGCGAGCUACUUACAAGCAGCUAACCUUGAGCGAACCCGUCUCUGUGGCAAAAGAGUGGGACGACUUGUCAGUAGUGGUGAAAAGCCAACCGAGCUGGGUGAUAGCUGGUUGCCUGCAAAAUGAAUCUAAGUUCACCCUUAACUCUCCUUCAAGGAUGCCCAACUUAACCCCAAUGAGACGAAUUAAGAGCAAACUAAAGGAGGUACAGCUCCUUUAAAAAAGAAUACAACCUUCUAUAGCGGAUAACCCAACCCCCUUCCCAAGCACUGUAGGCCUUCAAGCAGCCACCAACAAAGAAUGCGUCAAAGCUCACCCCCCCCAAAUCCAAAAACAAUGCGACUCCCUUCAACAUAGCAGGCCAAUCUAUUCACAAUAGAAGAAUUAAUGCUAAAAUGAGUAACUAGGGAGCCCUACCCCCAACCCUCUCAGGCGUAAGCUUACAUCCAACCAUUAUUAACAAACCUAAAACUGAUACUCCAACUCAAACAAGACCAAGUAUCUAAAAACACCUUGUUAACCCAACUCCCGGCACGCCCACCAGAAAGAUUAAAACCUGCAAAAGGAACUAGGCAACCCAAAGGCCCGACUGUUUACCAAAAACAUAGCCUUCAGCAAACCAAGUAUUGAAGGUGAUGCCUGCCCAGUGACACCCAGUUCAACGGCCGCGGUAUCCUAACCGUGCGAAGGUAGCGCAAUCAAUUGUCCCAUAAAUUGAGACUUGUAUGAACGGCUAAACGAGGUCUUAACUGUCUCCUGCAGGUAAUCAGUGAAAUUGAUCUUCCUGUGCAAAAGCAGGAAUGAGCCCAUAAGACGAGAAGACCCUGUGGAACUUAAAAAUCAACGGCCACCACGCACUCAAACUCAAACCCACCAGGCCCACUACCAAUGCAACGCUGGCCCGCAAUUUUUCGGUUGGGGCGACCUUGGAGAAAAACAAAUCCUCCAAAAACAAGACCACCCCUCUUAACCAAGAACCACACCUCAACGUGCUAACAGCAACCAGACCCAAUAUACUUGAACAAUGGACCAAGCUACCCCAGGGAUAACAGCGCAAUCUCCCUCAAGAGCCCCUAUCGACAGGGAGGUUUACGACCUCGAUGUUGGAUCAGGACACCCUAAUGGUGCAACCGCUAUUAAGGGUUCGUUUGUUCAACGAUUAACAGUCCUACGUGAUCUGAGUUCAGACCGGAGCAAUCCAGGUCGGUUUCUAUCUAUGAUGAACUUCCCCUAGUACGAAAGGAUCGGGGAAGUGAGGCCAAUACUAAAGGCACGCCUCCCUCUUAAGUAAUGACCACAACUGAAUUACCAAAAGGCCAACCCACCCCUCUCACUACCUCCUAGAAAAGGACCA